rnacentral:lncRNA from 1 species
AUAAAUAAAUUUUAAAUAUUAGUAGUAUAAGUCUUGAAGUUAUUACAUCAUCCGCUUUGAAAUGAUCAAAGAACAUCCGAUAUCCAGGAGCACAAUGAUGAAAAGGUUUUUUUCCUUAUUCAUCCCAUAUGUGGACCACCUAAAAAAGAAAUAAUUAUUAAAAAAUACCUAGAAAAAAUAUAUCUAAAAAAAUAAUUUAUUUUAUACAUACUUGGUCGCAUAUGGAAACUAGAAUGGAUUGAGAUUUGUUGGUGACAGUCUUGGCAUUUUG